UACGGAGGAUCCGAGCGUUAUCCGGAUUUAUUGGGUUUAAAGGGUGCGUAGGCGGCCUGUUAAGUCAGGGGUGAAAGACGGUAGCUCAACUAUCGCAGUGCCCUUGAUACUGAUGGGCUUGAAUGUACUAGAGGUAGGCGGAACGUGACAAGUAGCGGUGAAAUGCAUAGAUAUGUCACAGAACACCAAUUGCGAAGGCAGCUUACUAUGGUAUUAUUGACGCUGAGGCACGAAAGCGUGGGGAUCAAACAGG
rnacentral:rRNA from 1 species